AGGAUGAACGCUAGCGACAGGCCUAACACAUGCAAGUCGAGGGGCAGCACGGUGUAGCAAUACACGGGUGGCGACCGGCGCACGGGUGAGUAACGCGUAUGCAACCUGCCUACUACAAGGGGAUAACCCGUUGAAAGACGGACUAAUACCCUAUAACACAGGGAAUCCGCAUGGAUAUAUUUGUUAAAGAUUUAUCGGUAGUAGAUGGGCAUGCGUUCCAUUAGCUUGUUGGUGAGGUAACGGCUCACCAAGGCAACGAUGGAUAGGGGAACUGAGAGGUUGAUCCCCCACACUGGAACUGAGACACGGUCCAGACUCCUACGGGAGGCAGCAGUGAGGAAUAUUGGUCAAUGGACGAGAGUCUGAACCAGCCAAGUCGCGUGAAGGAAGACGGCCCUACGGGUUGUAAACUUCUUUUGUAAGGGAAUAAAUAGUCUUACGCGCUAAGACGUUGCAGGUACCUUACGAAUAAGGAUCGGCUAACUCCGUG
rnacentral:rRNA from 1 species